UACAGAGGUCCCGAGCGUUGUUCGGAUUCACUGGGCGUAAAGGGUGCGUAGGUGGUGAGGAAAGUCGGAUGUGAAAUCUCCAAGCUCAACUUGGAAAUGGCAUUGGAAACUACCUUGCUGGAGGUUUGGAGGGGGGACUGGAAUACUUGGUGUAGCAGUGAAAUGCGUAGAUAUCGGGAGGAACACCUGUGGCGAAAGCGGCGCACUGGACAGUUUCUGACACUAAGACUCGAAAGCGUGGGGAGCAAACAGG
rnacentral:rRNA from 1 species